UUUUGGACAACCCACCAAAGUACAAAAAUGUAUGGACAAAAAGGAAUAUAUUGGUCUAGUUGAAAAGUAAAAAGAACAAAAUAAAAAACGAAAAAACAAAAUGGAUCUCUCUGGAAGGAGACCAAAACAUGAACUGAUAGAAGAUAAUUUUCCAGAUUUGGAAGGUGAGUUCCAUAUUUCGAGUAUGGAUGGACAAAGUUAAUAUAGGGCUUCUAUAAGCUUCUAUGUGGAUUUUAAUAAGUGUGAUAUUUGUACUUUUCUCAUCUUUGUAUGUUUGAGCAUUAAAGUGAGAGUUGAUGAUGAUAAAUUUGAGUAUGUUGCAUAAAAAGUUUUGUAGAUGGUGUAGAAGGUGUUUAUGGGAAGAAAUUGUAUCUGCAAGUUUAUUGAUAGCAAAGUUCAGUUAUUAUAGUGAGUUACUUAAGGUUUUGCUGGAUUCAUCUCAUCCUACACAUAUUUUGAUUCCCAAGUAUUCAAACAAUUGUGACGAUUUGUGAUUUUAUUAAAUCACUUUGGCCUCAGCAGAGGUUACUAGCAUGUCUCUCUAAGAGGAUACUGGCGUCGCCUCUCUCAGAGUUACUGGAUACUGGCAUCGUCUCUCUUAGUAUUUGAAUCUGUGAAGGAAUUUGUGAACGAGUCGACUGCAUAUCAAUUUCAGGACUCUUUGUGUGGACUUUGCAGGUUAUAUACUUAAUGGAUAAAAGUUGGAUAAAUAUAUAGAAUAGGCUUGAUCCUUUAUAUGAGAAUGGAGCCAAAGAGUUUCUUCAUUUUGCAUCUUUAGAUAGGCCAGAUGCAUCUGCAAUAUUGUGUCUAUGUCGAAAGUGUCGUAAUAUGAAAUUUGUCCGAAAAGAUUUGAUUGUUGAACAUAUUGUGGUUGAUGGAUUUCUAACUAGUUACACUAGUUGGAUUUGUCAUGGUGAGGAGCUAUUUUCAUCAAAAUUGGUCAAUCAGUUAGAUAAAGGUGAUGAGAUGCAAGACAUGUUACAUGAAGCAUUUGGAAUUCCUCCUACAUCUAAUUUUGUUGAUAUGGACACUAGUGCUGAAGGAUUUGAUGGGUCAAAUCAACAUAACAUGGGUUUUGAUAAGAAGACUGAAGAACAUGGGUUACAAUAAUGAACAUUAUUUUUUCAUUAAGUAGUUUCUGGUUUCUGCCUUUUUUGGCAACUGCGAGUUUUUUUUUGGGAUAUCAGUCUUUUAACUAUCAGAAAUACUUAAAAAGAGAUAAAAGGAAAUUUAGAGUUUUUGGCUAAAAACAUCUCUCAACUAUACCCCAAACUUAAAGUACAUCCUUGUAAUAUCAUAGUGAACAAGGAACAUCCUUCAACUAUUGAAAAUCUAGCAAGUUUCACCCUUCUGUCAAGAAUUGCUUGAAAUCUAACAGAGCAUUUUGAAACUCAUGUGAUACUACUAUAGUUUCCCUAUUUGCAACUAGGUUCUUUUUUUUUAAUCAUAGUCUAUCUUCUUCCUCCUUAAGUUGGUUAACCGGUAGAAUCAACAUCGAUCAUCUCUAAAUAUUAGUACUUCGUCUUUCUGUUGACGCCAUUGAGUGCUCACAAUGAAAGAGCAGAAACAAAAUGAAAGAUGGAAAAUAGGAGAUUUUGUAAAUAUGUAUUAUAAUGUGAAUGAAACGAGAAAUAUGUUAGUAGCAUUACCAGAUGAAAUAAUGCACAAGAUGUAAUUGGAUUGACAUUUCUGACACUUUUAUGAUUUUUUUUUUGCCAAAGCAGAUACAUAUACAUUAGCAUAAUAACAAUAAGUUGUUAGCUCUUAGCUAAAUUUUGAUUGCUAAAAAUAAAGAACCAAAUUGAGAGGGAAAAUAUUUCCUGUUUUUGUAGAAUAUGGACACUGUUACCUUCAUUGGUUUUGGAUCAUUAUCGAAAAAAACUAACUAUGCUUGCUAUUGCCUUUAAUUUACCUUCUUCUAAUUAAGAGUAAAGACAGUCUGAACAACACAUAUACCGCAUAUGAAAACAAUCAUUCUUCAUUUUCUUGAGAGGUACUGGGUUUCAGUAUCUGCACGUUUGUAUGAUUUGUCUUUGCAUUAUUGCAUCACAAAUUUAAAAAUGACCGGAGAGGGUGGUUAUGGAAAAUGAACCAUACUUCAACAAAUGAAAGUUAAAAUUCAUAUUUCUGAGAAAUGAGAGAAUGUGAAGUGUUCAAAUCUGAGGAGUUUUUAGUGAAUUUCACCCACUCCGUUAGAUUUUUAACGGUCUUUAACUAAUGGAUGGGAUUUGUUAAUGUUUAGAUAUUUGAAGGAUGUUUUUUGUUAACUAUGAUAUUACAAGGAUGUGCUUUAAGUUUAUAGUAUAGUUCAAGGAUGUUUUUAGCCAAAAACUCAGAAAUUUACUUAGAUAAGAUCAUUACAAAAAAGGAUUGUCAGAAACUUUCUACUUGCUGACCAUUAUAAUGUGUUCUGUUCUGUGGCUAAAAGCUGCUUCUUUUCCUAUAUUAACCAGCUAGAUUCAUUGGGGUGGUCAAGUAAACUUGAAAUUUAGUGUUUCUCCCAUCAUAUUUUUCUCCCCCCCCCCCCCCCCGUAUUAAUUGAAAGCAAAGAGGGUAGGAUGAUGUAUGUGUAUGUGCCUUCAUAAGCAUACAUGUUUCUCUUGUUAGAAUGCCAUCAUUUUUGGGUUGGAAAACCUGAUGAUUUUCUGGGAAAUGGACAUGGAUAAGUCAGAAGAAGCAUCAGAGGAAGUUUUGAACUUUCAUAGAAAUUUCUUCACAUAUUGUUGUGACGUUUCUUGAUGCCAAGCCCAAGCAAAGAUCUCGUAAGUGGUACAAUAGUUAUUUAAAAUGACUCGACCUAGGAGAGGAUUAUUGGAUUGUUGGAUAUACUCUUAUUGAGAUUUCUCUUAAAGAUUCAAGUCUGAACCAGACUAUAAACAAUUUGUUUGGACUAUUAUGUUUACAGAACUUCUAUUGUUGUUCUGCUUUUAAUGUUUGAACUGCCACAGAGUAACUAGGAAAGUCAUGUCUCUUUCCUAUGGGGAAGUAUCAAGCAGGAUACCAAAAUUCUGGUAUUGUGUUGCUUCGACUCUUAAAGAUAUGUUUGUUUUGUUGAAGCAAGAAUAUAUCUUCUUUUUUUAUUUUCCUUCUGGAAAAAUUGGCACACUUAUGUAUUCAAUGAAAUGUUAAGUUUUGUAUUUCGUAAAGUAUCAAAAUAAUCAAUUUAAUGUUUU